UACAGAGGGGGCAAGCGUUGUUCGGAAUUACUGGGCGUAAAGGGCGCGUAGGCGGCCUGUUAAGUCGAACGUGAAAUCCCCGGGCUCAACCCGGGAACUGCGUCCGAUACUGGCAGGCUUGAAUUCGGGAGAGGGAUGUGGAAUUCCAGGUGUAGCGGUGAAAUGCGUAGAUAUCGAGAGGAACACCAGUGGCGAAGGCGAGUCCCUGGACAACACCUGACACUGAGGCACGAAAGCUAGGGGAGCAAACAGG
rnacentral:rRNA from 1 species